AGAUUAAUUAAAAAUUGCAUUUACAAAUUUAUGGAACUGUUUCUGCGAUGCCAAAGACCAAUGCUGAAAUUUGUUGGAGGUAGCUGGAGUUCGGAAGAAGCUAAAUAUGCAGCUAAACUUUCACAGCAAGGAGUGACAGUGCCAAUAAAAAGAAAAGUACAACCGCGGAACGCAGUCGAGCUUUCAGACUACGAAAUAAAAAAAAAAGUGCGGACAACUCCUUACGGGCUUUGUAAUUGAGACUUCUUUAUUGCAUCAUCACGAUUAUAUACAGCAACAAAAGCAUCACGAACUGAUGUCGUAGAUUCAGCAUAUGCUUGUGACUGUUGAACUAUAAUUGCUAUACGUAAUAUAAGUGAUAAUUUGGAUAAUUAGAAUUUGAUGCUAUUUUUAUAUGAUUGAUUGACUGAUGGAGAGCAAAAGUACUAUUGUAAAAGUAUACUACUAAGUAUACUGAAUACAAAUUAUGCGAAAUAAUGUGAAA
rnacentral:lncRNA from 1 species